UACAGAGGUGGCAAGCGUUGUUCGGAAUUACUGGGCGUAAAGGGCGCGUAGGCGGUUCGUUAAGUCCUGUGUGAAAUCCCCCGGCUCAACUGGGGAACUGCACAGGAAACAAGCGGGCUUGAGUUCGGGAGAGGAUAGCGGAAUUCCCAGUGUAGAGGUGAAAUUCGUAGAUAUUGGGAAGAACACCGGUGGCGAAGGCGGCUAUCUGGACCGACAUUGACGCUGAGGCGCGAAAGCGUGGGGAGCAAACAGG
rnacentral:rRNA from 1 species